UAUGAUUAUAUGGUUUUUAUCUCUCAGUUUGUUUAUGUGGUGUAUCACAUUUAUUGAUUUGUAGAUGUUGGACCAUCCUUGCAUACCUGGGAUAAGUCCUACUUGGUCAUGGUUUGAAAUGCAGAGAA